AUAGCAAUAACGGUCGUUGUUUGAAACUAAACUCUCAAAAAAGCCGCGUUACUGUCCCGACCCAGUUUGCAAGAACAACCUACUUGCUUCGUUUGCCUCUAUGCCGUUCCACUGGCCAUCUGCUCAUUACCGCGUUACGCUUCCUCCUAACCUUCCCUCGAAUUCGCCUGAUAAACGCUACCAAGCGCAACCAGGAAGUCAAAGCGUCGUCGCUCGACUCGGAAUUAAAACGCGGUUGCCUGACCUCCAACAAGCUCAUGCCGCCCUAAUACCGUUGACAUCUGCGCGAUUUAUCUUUCUUCAGCCGGGACAAAUUGAAUUUACCUCGCGGCAGGGUGGGGCUCGUCCGUCAUUCUUCCGACUUAUUGGCCGCUAUAUACGGCUUCAUAGUCUCCUAAUAGUGCGUGUGCUCGCACUAUAAAAACAAAACCACGUCGAACAUGCCACGACAGGUGAAUCGAGGGAACGUGCGUGCACACGGGCGGACAGGUGUUCGGCGAGCGUGUAUGAAAUCGACGACAAACGUCAAUGCCGAUGAACGCUGCCGCCUUUCAGGGCACCAGAAGGUUGCCCUGCUGGAAUAUAGUCGACGGGUUUCGCGUUAUGCUCGCCUGUUGACGCUCGUGUCUAUUCGUCUCUGUCCGUGCGACAAGCGAGCAUAAUUUACGAGGUCCGCGACCUCCGUAUCUGCCGUCCUAGUAGCCGGGAAUGAGGCGCUAAAGCGAGGAAUGUGGCUGUAAAAUGGAGGAGGAUUAAGCGUUCUUCGAGAACAGAAGAUCAUGACGUGCAGAGACUCGCGGGUCAACGCGGACUUGAACAACACAGCAGCACCUCUUAACGCGGCACCUAUUAUUACGGUACACGGUUAUUUACAUAUGUAAACGUAUCCUCUUUAAAAUCGGGCAUUUCGUACGAAAAUCGGACGAGAAGAACGUGAUAAGCGCGCUUCGUCGAAUUUCUGACCGUUUUUAGUACGACGUAAUCGAAAACGAAAGCAAAAUGUUUCGAGUUUAGAGGAGACGCAAGUGCUUUACGAACAGCUGUCGAGUUGAUGUUUCUUCGGUACUCUGCCAUUAUGAUUGAUAAUACUGGUUUAACGAAGAAGCUUGAGCAAGAAGACAAGAUGUCGAUGGAAAGAUGACGCAAAAACGAUGGCAAUAUACAACAAUAAUCGUAGAAUACGCGGAACGACGAAAAGUAUAAACCAGGUGCAAGGAGUGAAUGAUCACGGUGGAGUUAACAUUCGAAAGGAACAAACGAGACAAGAAACCAUUUUCACGUAUGUACGAACAAACGUUUCUAUUCGUCGACUUACCCAACCACGAUCGAUAUUACGUAUUCGCUCAGCGGCAUUCGCUCAGUGUCACCAUCGUGUUACCACUGAAUGGUAACGGUGUAUAAUCAGCGCGAGCGACUUUAACGUUUUCAUUUCAUCGAACAUAAGCGCAAAAAGCAACGUGGAGAAGCGUCUCGUCCGAACACGACGCGAACGGGUCGAAAGUGGUGUGUCUUGGGACGAACCAAGAAAGCUGAGAAUAAUGGAUCGACUCCUCUACGAGACAGGGUAAUAUGAGACGUAGAAAUCCGUUCGAUGGCGAAGGAAAACCAGCAAUUCGUAGAGAACAAAAGAAUGUCGGGGUGCUGUAACAGGACAGCAUGUUCGGAACAUCGCUUGUCACCAUCGAUCCGUCACAUUUGCGUAUGACAGUGCCUCCUUGCUAUAUGAUAAUUCCCGCCAUCUAUCCAUCGAACCUCGAUACUUUUCUUUUUCUCCGUCUUGAACUUGAUUUCUAAUCAGCUAUUUACUCUUUGAGAAAUCUCUAGACGUAUUUAUACUCUGGCACAUUUCAGGAUACUGUAUUACGUGUACGAGGCUCGGCCAAAGAUAAAUCGAAUUUUGUUCGUAACUUUAUAUUUCAGUAAAUUAAAAAAAAAAAAAAAAAAAAAAAAAAAGAAGAAAAAGAGAAAACAAACAAUCGAGUUACCUUUCCACGUAUGUUUCGCUCUGUUUUAUCCUUCGUCACUAGAUUGGUAAUUUUUUUAUUCCAGUAGAAAGCGAAGGGCUGGAUCAGAAGCCAAUCGCACACGAGUUGUUCUACUUCCUCGGUGCUGUUGAAGGAACGUUGUCCACCGAACACCGUCCUUUUAACCGGUCGCAAUUUCACGGAACUUUAACUCCUUCCGAAUGAUCGAACCUAUACGUUGCUAUUUAUGCAGCGUUUCGGUAGGUUUUGCGCCCUCGAUGGAUAAAACCUUGUUUUACUACCGAAAGACGGAACUGCUUCCUCGCUCGUUGCGUUAUCUACCGAAAAAAAAAAAAAAAAAAAAAAAAAAACGAUAAAUGGAGCAUCACGUGGGGUGGAUUGUCUUUUAAGAUACGCGUAUUUGAUAAGCGACAGCGUGCAGACGUGGCACACGCAAUUCGUUCAACGUCUGACCGAACCUCGUACUACGAGUACCGUGUUACAACCUCUUCCACACCGGUCACACUCCUUGACAACGCUGACGACACUCUUCGUCAACCCUGACAACGCUAAAAGCUCUCUGGCAACUCAAGGCUACCUUUUAUACCCUGGCUCCGGUAUACCUGGCCCGCACAUGUCCCAUGGUCAAGCAGACCUUUUUAAUUACUCAGAGUUUUCCCCCGAUACUACGAUACCGUAUAUCUAUAAAUAUCGAACUGUAUUCAUAUAUUAUACUGCCAUCCGCGAUAAGCUUCCUGCGUGAAACAAGCGUAUGUAGGCUUUAUGCUAUAAAUGUAUGGUUCUAACGACAAAUUAUACGUCGUGUUUGUGAUUUUAGGUGGAGGGGCGAAUGAAUUGGUCGCGGGUUCCAUGCUUUAAAAGGGGAUUCUAAUUCCAUCGUUUCGCUCGAACGAGUUCGGAUAAAAAGCGAUGCGGUGACAGCGAUCAGGAAGCUAUAACGGCGGAGAAUCUUGCGCAUUCCGCGUGUUCUCUCUUCGGUCGUUGUCCGUCAGAUGGAAAUUCGUGGCGAUCGGACAGGUUCGGAUUGUUCGUUCCACGCAUUCGCCGGAAAUCGUAGGAGACGUACGCGCCGAGAAACGAGAACGGGUUGUGGGCGGUGACGGAACAUUCAUAGAAACUCUAUCCGGCCCUCAGAGAGGCGAGGAGGUCAAUCGGCAUUUACUUCCCCUUUUACGACCGCGAACAGUCGCUAAUUCUGGCCAAACUUUCGUCACCGCGUCGAUUGGUCGAACCGUUUCACCGAUUCUCUCUCCUUCUCUUUUGUUUCCAGUAGCACGAAGUGAAGUUCUUCCAACCCGGAAUUUCAUAACGUCGAAUAAACUUUCGAUACUAUUUAUUAUAAUUACUAUACGUCUGUUUAAUAACAAUACCAAUUUCUAUUAUUUAUAUUUUUACGUAUUUCAGGAUUUUUCAGUUACCAAUUGCUCGUAUAAAACGAAGCGCGAGCGAUCUCCGAAGGAAAAUAGAAAUAACGUUUGCAUCCCCUUUGUUCGCCAAACGUAUAGGGGAAGAUGUUACUACCACCUAUCGCCCUAUGUAUCCCUAGCAACUUUCUCAAUUUCUCUUUGUUCGCGAAAUAUCGUUAUAGCCCGUUAUACACUUUGAUUAACUCCCUUUGUACCUCAUUCUAUAACGUCAAAGGAAAUUACGCUUUACCUAAAUCAAAAAGCGCUUCUCUCCAAACCCGAUAUAAUCUCUGCACCGCCUCGGUACUCCAUCGACUUGACACGAAUACAUCGAACCAUUCGAAAGCCGUUAUACCGAACGAACGAAACAACUUGGCAUAAUCACCGACGCUUUAAUUCUAACUUGCGAACGAGUUUAACGAUUCGAUAAGAAUCAAACAGUUCGACUAAUCUCCGAUAACCGUCACUGCCUACUUAUCGAAGCACCAGCGAUCGAUCGAUCAAAGCGUUUGCAUAAUUCGUCCCACGCGACGAUCGGCCGUAAUUAUGAUCGAACCACGUAUACGUUUUCGCACGAGCACGUUACAUUGCAUAAACAACGCUACGGCGUCAAGAAAAAAAAAAAAAAAAAAAAAAAAAGAAAAAAAGGUGAUUCCACUUUUUUCGACACCAGGACGCCAUAGACGCGUCUCGGUGGUUCGGUGAUCAGGUGGAAUACCUCGUGGGGUUUCCAAUCAAUCGGCGGCUUCCGGUGCUAUCAGAGGAGCAUAAGUGGAGCGGGAAAACCGAACUUUCCUAUCGUUCCGCGAGAAAAACGUGCGUGUCGCCGAUGCGUCCGUCGCUCCUGAUAGACGGCGACGCGGCCAAGACUUUUACGAACCGGAAAAGAAAUCGCGGUAAGGAGAUGCCGUCGUCGAUCCGACGACGAAUCAGCCCGUAUUCACAUAUGAGAAUGGCGGCGCGACUUCGUCCGAAGGAAAGGGUUAGUCGUCCAAGUGCUUCGAGUCACACAUCGCGACAGGGCCGACAUAACCGCGAGAGAGGUGCCCUGAUAUUCGUCUGGUCGUUCACCUCGUACACCUUUCGAGCGGACACGUGCACUGGACACCGGUGGGCGUAAAAGGGAUUAGCGAGGAGCCUCGUGAAAUUUGAGAUUCGAAAGGGAGCAACGAGACGCGUUAAUUGGACGAUGAAUAAGGAAUUCAUCUGGAUAUCAGUGACGCGUAAUUAGGCUUUCGUUUCGCAGAGUCUCUGGCGAAUAUUUGUCUCUGGGUUUAGGAAGCGUUUGAAAUUUGUUUUCUACCUACGUAUGUAUAUCAUCCGCGGUCUAUCAGUAACUAAAAAUAUGUAAAAGUACGUUUGAUCGAGAAACUUGGCUUCCAAGAUCUCUAGUAACACUCAGCGGUUCGCAACGAAGGAACGUAUCCGCGUAUACUGUCGGCUAUUAGUAUUAUCUACGUAUGACAUCUACCGGUUACAUUUGUCGGAAAACUCUAAUAAAUUUUAUUUUAUGGGAAAAUAAAACGGGGAAAUAAAAAGAGCGGGCAAUAUCGAAUUUGGAUUAAAUAACAACGCGUAGCGAUAUGCUUGCCAGGAGUACGCCAUGCUCCGCUUGGUGGAAACGCUCUUUGCCGACGUAGUAGGCGUGCCAAGCCGGAAUCAUCGCUUGUCAAAACUGUCCAUUAACGCAUCAGAUCGAUGGCAUCAUAACUCGACUAAGGAAUAGGGCACGAUACACGUUGAGGAGUUGUAGCGAAUGCACACGCGCGAGUAGGGGUCUCCACCAGCCAAGUGCAUCUAAGAAAUGCGAACGUUCGGGUCAAGCCAGAUGGAGGAAGGGUCUCGUUCUGAUCGUUCCGAUAAUCGAAAGGGCUAUCGGCAGUCUAUUGGUUUGAUCCCCCUGUCCCAGGCUAACAGAAGUUGGCUGGCAGUCGUACGAAAUUCCUACGAUCUUCCGUGUGUCGGUACCAUAGUCUGUACUCGACAGAAGCACGGUUUUCGAAAGCGUGUCACGCGAUUCGUCGGUGAUUAGCCGACGCAGUAGGAGCACAGAGUGUAUUCGGUGUUUCUACGUUUCCACGGAGCUGGUCCGCUCUGGAUGAUGGAACGUCGGACAGCCUACCAAUAGGAAUAAUUUAAUCUGGUGCCCGAGGGAAAGGGUUGAAUAAAAUAUAUUCACAUAUUCGAAGUAGGCUGGUAUACACCGCGAGAAGGUGUUUUAUCGAGGUUGGCACGGGUUAUAGCUUUGCCCUUGGGCAGUUAUGUUGCUCUGAUGAUUCGUCCCGUUCUUCGGAAACUGUCGUUCCGUGGACGAUUCGGAAGGGAGAAUGACGACGAUAGAGACUAGGAAAACGGACAGGACGGAAGAGGAAAAUUAAUGGCGGGUGAAGCGAGAACGCUCGAAGGGAUUCGGGUUGUCGUCGUUGGAGAGAAAGGGUUCGCCUCGUCGGGAUUCCACCCACGCUUUUUUCACAGGAUAACAUCCUCGCGAGGAAUCCCCGCGGGAAACCAUCGAAUCGAAGGCCUAGCCUAGGUUAGCAAUGAGACUGCCUAGACCGGAUCUAUCCAUCCAACGCGUUUUUCGUUUUCUCUUCGCUUUCUCGCGUAACGGUUACAAGCAAAUACUUUUCCUGUAAUUAGGAAAACGAUUUUUUCAAACGCUAUAAAUUAUAUGCUAUAAAUUUGUUUAAAAUUCUCCUUCUAUUUGCGAUCUACGAAUCCGAUCUAAAACCAUUCCACAACAGAACAAACAUCGAUCCUUGACAAAACCGAUACUUCCCUCUCAACUAUCUCUUUCUCUCCCUCAAACAUUCCAGCAGCUUGCCAGGCCAGAAUCACGACUUCAACUAAGUCAACUCCCCCAGGAUCAAGACCCACCAACUUACACCACCAUUCCUACCCUAAAUUCGAAGGGUUUUUAACCUCCUUAUCCAGGCCAAGAGACCUCCUACAUUCUGAUAGCUGCCUAACCAGUGUCACCUGCGGUGUAAUUAAUAUUCAUACAUACGCCUCGUGAACAUGACUUCCCAUAGCCGCGUGUCGUUACAAAGUAUUAUCGGCAUCUUUCGUUUCAGUACCGAAACGAUCUAAGCUAGCCGAGUGGAAAUACACGUGGCGAAAGAAGGAAGGAAGGGAUUUAGGUUAGUUUGUCUGGCGGCAAGUCGUUUCAGUCCAUCGACGGACUGGUGCUAUCAGGAUACCAUGGAUAGGCCAGCUGAUUAUUGGAUGACACACAAAAGUGCUAGGGGAGCAUAAAUUUGUGUCACGUGAUUUUCCACGGAGUUAAACAUUUACGAUGAUCAACGUGUCGAUAAAGAGACGAUCAACGAUGGUUCUAGACAAUACAAAAGUAAACAAGAUGAUCAGGGAAGGAGGAAUGGCGAGGAGAUGGUUUGGACAGCGAAUUGGGGUGCGUUACCCCUGGGGCUGGCACCAGUCCGGUUCAUUCUCCGCCAGGAGGCGGUUCGGAGGAUUAAUGGAUUGUGUCGUUAUGUGUCUCGACCGGGGGGUGGGAUUAUUCCAAUGGGAUGGACGAAUGGUGCUCUCUAUGGACCCCGUCGGUGCAUGUAGAUCGCUUUACAAUGUUUUCUGAAAUAUUCCGCGAGAGAAGCUUAUUAGCCAAUUUACGAGCUUAUCGUCUUCUCCAUUUCGUAUCACUUGUUAUCGCUCUUUGAGAAACUUCAUCGCGUUUGAUCGCGAUUAUGAUAUAUACGUACAUAUAUAUUACGAAUAGUUUAUUUUCAAUUCAUGCCGAACCUUUUGUUAUAUGAUCGAUUAUAUAAUUCUAUAUACCGCAUACCAUAUAUACCGUAUAUAGGAUCAUUAUGACGAAUAGUAUCAAGUUGUAAAUAAUUUAUUUCGAACUUCUUCUUUCGCCGAAUGAAAAUAUUUUCUUUAUUGAACUUUAAAUAUCUUUAUUUCGUAGGUUAACGAUGUUAGAAAGGAUCGUUGUGCUUUUAUCAGUUCCUAGACAUUGGAUUUCGCGUUUAAUCUAGGAGGAUCGUAAAUUCUCGCGACAACAACACGUUUUACAGAUAAUAAAUGAUAAUAGAACGUUAGAAAGUGUAAUCGUAUGUUUCCUUUCAUUCUGUGAAAUUCACUUCCUGAAUCUUCGCCCAGUGAACCUCUCAUUUCCUCCAUUUAUAUAACCUGCUUAAACGAGCUCUCUCAAUCACGGAAUCCGUUCCCUCGUUUAUAACAUUGUACUACUUCCAUGAAUUAGUACCUACCAAUUAGGACUAACUAACGCAGUGUAAUUAAGUCCAGGUUAUAUAAAUCAGCGUUAUCAUCGUACGAAGCAAGCGUUUCGAGAGUUUCUUCUCUGCGGUCAAUAGUACCGAACGUUCGAAAUGUAUCCAAUUCUAGUGCUUUCCUACGUAUGUAACAUUCUAUCGGUCCAUUCUGUAUUCCGUCUGAUGCUAAUUUGUGCAUUCUACUUGAACAUUCGUGAACCUAAUUAAUUAAUAUCUAAACGUUAUAAUAAAUACAACGGUGUGGAAAUAUUCGUCGUAGCCACUGUAUAAUCCUUUGCCAAUAUUUAAAUCAUACCCCCAUGCUCAAAAGCACACACACCCAUUCCCCUAUUCGGCCACGGAUCACGAUCACAGCCGAUCGAUCAAGCCACAUAAAAAUACGUACUAUCGAACAAUAUAGAAUUUGAUACACCUAUUCCGAUUAAACAGUGUGUAAAUAUUACGAUAAACACGAUAACGUGCUAAUAUAUUUCGUAAUCACGGUGCAAUAUAUUGCCACUAUUUCAGAAUCUGUAAAUCGUACCUCCGUAUUCAAAAACACGUUCAUCCGUUUUCCUAUUCAUCCAUAGACGGCCACACCCGAUCAACCAUAUCCGAUCGCAGCACCAAGUUUAGGGUUAAGAAGGUGCACCUACACAACGUCUUCUGGGCGUACAUCAGCGACGCCACGCAGAUACACCUAACGCCUGGGCGUUUCCGUCUUGGAGCUGCCUUCCAUCCAGGAGCAACGUGCUCCGCGUGGCGUCGACCUGUUCGCUCGGACCACCGAAGAUCCCGCGGCGAACAACGUAGCCGCCGUUGGAAUCCGAUCUUACGCCGCCGACGAUCGGUACGAUUUGUACCCGGUGCUCGUCGCCACGAGGUCGCGAUUCCGCACCGCCUCUUCGUGUCAUGGUUCCGCCCCGCGAGUUUGACGGCCUGCCCUCCGCGGGAGCCGCCCCCGCUCUUUGAACAGGAACACAGAAACGCGAAGGAAUCGAUCCAGGGACGAGGAGACGGCGAGCUCGAACUCGAUGAACUUGGCCUUGGCGCUGGACACCGCCGCCAACAGGGGAACAGGGGGGAUUUUAGUUGCAGUUGCAGCGGCUCGUGAACGACAGACUCGGCGAUGGAUGUUGUUCCGAGGUGAUUUAAUGGUUGCGACCACCGAUGGAGUUACGCGUUUCUACUCUCGGGUUAUUAUAGCGUGGAUCGGGUACAUUGGGUUAGGAAGCUGCCGGUUGGAAAUCCGCCGAAUCGCGGAUAUUUCUCAGAAAUUUCUCCUUCGAUUGGACGUACUUCCCGCGUAAUUAGCACCGGACAGAUAUUUCUCUCUCAAUUUCUUAGACGUCGUAAGACACAAGCACUCUCGAUUCUUUUCAAUUAACGCGUUUCAUACGAUUCGAGCUUCGAAUGGGAUACGAAAUGUGUUUUAAAAAUAUAUCAAAUAUCUAUAUCUAUGUGCAUAUGAAUUAAUUUUGUCAGAUUUGUCGGACCACUGGACACGUACCACAGUGCAGGAAAGUUGCCACUAGAAAGUUGAAAUCGUCCCUUCAGGCGGGUCUGGUAGGCCGGCAAAUCGACACUGGCAUGCGUAAACAUAGGCUUCGAAAUCCCAAAGAGGUGGAGAGCGUCCUAAUGAAUCGCGCAUGACGCAUUGCGCAACAGUGUUCUCCUUUUCAACAAUCCCACUGUUCGUCGAUGGGGUAGGCAGGAUAGGAGCAUGCGUGAGGGGUUGUAACGUGUGUGCGUUGAUAUAAUCGGUGAAUAUGCGUUGUGGAGAGCAACUUUGAGGGUGGAGUUGAACGAUCUCGAUGGCGAAUGAAAGCAAUUUGGUAUUCUACCCGCGAGACUUGUAUCUAUUCUUCCAUUAUUGUUCGUCAAUAUCAUUCGUUUUCUGUAUUUUCUAGUCGUGUUUACGUAUUAUAUUACUUUUCACCAUAUCGUAUAUUAUAUACUACGUUUCGUAUAUUUGGUUCGUUAAAACGCCAAUAUGACCAACAUACAGACAUAUAAAUAAGAAAUAUAAAAUCGAACAAAUAAUUCGUUUUGCGGAUUUCUAUGCGCUUACGGGGAAACUGGAAAAUGCACACCUACACCGAAUGCGUAUACGUAUAUCUGUGAAGAUCGAAAUAUUUAGAAAACCGAUAUACGAUAAUAUCGGUCGUUUCCUGCGUUACCUGUCUUCGUAAAUUUGCCCACUGUCUCUAGCAUAUAACGAUCGGAGGGUAAAAUUUAUGGAAACCGGUGAAACGGAUGUCGACAGCCACGUGGUAUCGUUGCACGCGCCUGCGCCUCGAUACUGUACGGCGGGACGAGCCGUUCCUUCAGGAUCGCUCGUGAAGAAAGGUGGAGAGGUCGGAGGACAACGGUCGCGCGCGCGGCUUGGUAGGGGACAGAUGGUCGCACGAGGUUGGACGAAAGGGCCAGGCGCACGCCAGUCGAAAAAGGGUGCGACCUUCGUUGGCCGAGGCCAGCCCUCGGGGAGACCGCGCCCACGCAUUUUCAGCAGGAUCGCAGCACUUGGAUGGAGCUCGUUUGGCCUUGGGAACUCUCCGCCCGUGUUGGUACACCUCCUGGUCCCACCGAAGGGCCGCCAAGGGCCGAAGAAACUAUCAGCGCCAAAUACUCUUAAGAUAUAUUAUAUUGGCUGUGUAGUUUGUGGCUUGUGGCUUGUGGCUUGUUUCUUGUAGCGAGAGAAAACGGGUUUUUACGGUCAUAAGUACAAACGAAAUGGUUCAUUCGAUCGGAGAUAAAUCGAAGAAGUGAGAUUUUUCAUCUUUGGAUGCGUAUUCCUUUUUAAUGUCGCGUGUGUUUCGAAGCAUCUUAUGAUUCAAGUAUACGAAUCAUCGUACAGAGUAUCGAACAUCGAUCGAUUCGUAUUUAGAUAUUAACGAUAUCAAAGUCGAAAAUAUUUCCAAGCUGCGAAAAUGUGAUUUUACAGAUAUUCCAGACAUCUAAGGGGUGAAGGGGUUGCGAGAGAUCGUAAGAAAUACCGCGUGCGUGGUUUCUAGUGUUUUUGUAGGUAGGUUUUUGAAGCGAUGGGAUAAGCGGAGAAAUUAGCCGUGGAUGGCUCGAGUGCACUUCACUCACAAUGAGUAAAGUGAUCUACGAGGAAGGAAGGUGGAGCUCGGUGUCGUUUGAUUCGUUAAUUGGAAAAGAUAGACUUACAUAAUCUCCGGUCAUCCGGUUUCCUAAUAUUUUAUACAAUUAUUUGUAUUUUAAUAUUUUACGUGUUGCAUGUAAUUAAACGAUUGAUAUUUUUAUGCAAUUGUUAUUACGCGAAUGUAUAACAUUUUGAAAAUAAAAGUGCACUUUUUUUCAAGAAUCUAGAGAGCUUACUAACUUCCAAGUGUUAAGUAUCAAAGUUGAAAUAUCUCGCAUCUUUUUCCUCGCUUCUCUGUUGUUUUAGUCUGAAAUACUGAAACGUUAUUUCGUCCCAUAUAUAUUCAUUCCCUUACGCUUUUUCUUCAACGAGGCACAUCUACGCAUUUUGAACAGGAUCUCAUCAGAUGUUGCAAGGUGAAUAUAAGAUUCUCGAAUCAUGUACGUUUUGAAGGACUCUGCUACCUCAGACGAUAUCCUGCUGUUAUUAAGAAACAUCAUACUGCGUAAAGUCCAUAGUUUUUUUUCAAUUAAAGGUUACGUUAACGUAACAAGCGUAGAAAAACGAUUUAUUUUUUUUUUUUUUAAUAUACGAAAUUGUUCGUUUCUCUGCGAUUCUUAUUAAAUUUUCUUAUUAACAAAACUCUUCUUAUCAAGUAUCGCGUAAUUACGAUAAAGAAAUUCUCCGAACAUGCAAAGUAAUCACGAAUUAAUAUAAUAUAAUUUCCAAUUGAAGUGAAGUCAUUAUUGUACUCGUAUAUGCAAAUAAAUAUGUACAAAUACAAUUUCUCUUCAGAUACGCCCAAUGAUAUCUUCUACGUAAUGGUAUUUCAAUAGCACGUACUCGUAAUUGCCGGCUCGCUAUGGCCGCUAGGGUGUUGCCAUGGUGAGAUACCAAACUCCAUGAAAAUAUGACGAGUACGCCAUAAUCCGAAGCUCUUGACCAUCCUGUUUUCCUAUCUUACGAUAUAUGAAAGAUAUGAAUUCGCCUAUCUAUGUUACAUAUCGCAAACGGUGAAUCUACCACACAACGAUAUUCCUGGUCUUUCGUAAAGUCUCUCUAAUGUAGCGUAAAUAACUUUUUAUCAAUUUCUACCUCGCGUAGAAUCACGUCUGCCAAUUGUUAUUCUUCCUUUAUCAACGUAGUCGCGGUACGAUAAAUUUUGUCGAUGGAAAAAUAAAAGAAUAUCAAAUUUGUUGAAGCAAGUGUACGAGAAUUUUCACCGAGUCGUAGUAACUCUGACGAACGUUAAAAUAUAAGGUACGUAAAAUUCAGACGUAAAACUGACUGAAAGACGGAGGAACGGUAGCUUGUAUGUUGUUCUUCGGGGAAUAUUUAAAGGCUGUUGGUCUGCUUCGCGCCGAUAUGUGCCUCUGGUUCGCCGGUUUCCCGCCAGGGUACCUCUUCGUCCGCCUUAUUUCCCUGCUAUGUCGAUGUAACGGAGUUGUUUACACUGCGCAUGUAAUAUGGCACCAAAUACGCUUCUGUUCACGUCGUGUCACUCGUGCGUCUUCCUUCCUGGCUACAUCACCGCUCUCGACGCAGCUAUUUCAAUCGAUUUUCUCGUUGUAAUAACUACUUACAACAUCUAUAUGAAAGCCAAUGUACGGAUGUAAUUUACAAAUUUCUAUAAUUGCGUCGAACGCAAUUUUCAUAUAACCAAAUAUUGUCUUAUUGACCAGGUAACUAAUAUAUCUACCGGAGAUAUAAGAAAUAGUUGAACGGUCUUGUAAAGGCUAUAUCGUAAUAGGUUAAAUCGCUUAAAAGAGCCGUUACAAUUUCAUUAAGCUGUUCCGUUCAAGGGUUUGGAGAUACUAGAAUUCGGGAGAAAGUCGAAUCGUUCUCGAUACAUCCAGAACCAGGAGUCCAUGUUUCGCAGCUAUUGUCUCGAGUAUCGUGAUUGGGUGUUUUCACGUUGUGGCCACGUGAACGGUGAAAAGAAAGGGAGAAAAGGCAGCAUCAAGAGCAAAUCACGAUACGGUUGGUAGCAGGGUCACAGGAAUUCACAGAGCAACUCGUUUCCAUCGAACGGGACACCUGAAUACAACGAGAGAUAAUCAGGUGUUUGACCCUAACGUCUAGCCCUGUCUGUUUCUUCUCUUUUUCCGAAUGUCCACGAGAACAAGGACGUUAUACUCCUAACGAUAUUCAUCGUGUACAAAAUCCUUUCCAAAGUUCAUCCUUUUUAUUGCGAAAAUAGGUCAAGCGUCGUGUAAAUAAUUUAUAGAUAUUUAAAGAAGAGUUUAAAGUAAGGAACUUGCGUUUCUCUCGUGGAAUGGAGGAAAGAGAGAAGGUGGUGGGUGGAUUGGCUUCUUGACCCCAAACCACCGAAAGUCCACGAUGAGAUAUGAAAAAAAUGAAAAGUGAUAUCUCUGUUAACAGGAGAUCAUGAUGGCCUCGGAGUUUCGCCCCGGAAACAGAAAAAGUUCGUAUGUAUCGCAUUUAUCGAAUACGUUGUACGUGAUCAAGAAGAAUUGUGGAAUCAAAAGGAUCAUCUACAUAGCUGUAAGACAAUCCAUUAGUUCGAUUAAAUAGCUUUUCUUUAACAAAAUCUGUACGAUUCUUGAAAAUACCAACGAUUCUAAUACCGAUACUAAUAAAAUAACUAAUAUUAAAUAACAUUUUUAUUCUUAAUUCAAGUUGUCAAGUAUAAUUAUCAGGAAUGACUUUUAAAUUAGCGUGUUCAAGUAUAAACAACCGAUUGUAUAAAUCUCUAAAGACUGUAUGGACGAAACGUCCAGGUAUCGUCGUAAUAACCGCAAUUAGAUCCGCUUCAUUGAGUUCUAAAUGCGGAGACUCGAUCACUAGGAACACAGAUGAGGAGAAGAGUCACGAAGGAUCCUCGUAACUGGAAGGAGGAGCCUCGACGAUGAUCCUCCUGCCAUUUCAUCCUGCUAUCCUGACCGCUGUCGCCGUCUUUCUUAUUAAUAUGCUAAUUUUACAUGGGCAUAGGCAUCAAAUUAUUAACGGGAUGCUCUAUCCACGAGCGUUUUCUCGAAACAGGCUUGAUGGAACCGCUUUCGAUGUUGUCCAGGGUGUUUCAAGGCACGUGUAAUACGAAACACCUUCGACCAGGAUAGCAUGGAGGAUCAGGAAUGCAUCAAACGCACGGAUCUGAAUCCACUUGAGUAUCCGCCCUUAAGCUCCCGGAGGGUAGAAGGAUUUGCCGCUUCAGUGACUUUGAAAGAAACAGAAACGGCUAAAGAAACAGGAACGCAAACGAGAGAGGAGCAACGGCAACGGAUAUUCCUCAAGACGUGCCUCUGUGUCACUUUUAUAGUCCUGGAAGCUACAGAGAUGGAAACAAAAUGUUCGUGGGCCUUCGAAGCAUUUUUAAAGUGCCCGCCAUUGAAUGUCCAUGCGACAGUCGUGCAAAGGUUCGUGAUUGACUGCGGCAUUGGCAGCCAUUUGAUUCGAAACAGAGUUUGCAAGACAUCAGGAGAUCAUGUAUGCGCAACAAUUCUUUGGAACGCAACUCAGCUUUCAAGGAAGUGUGUUUUUAUAUAUAACAGCUUCACAUUGAUAUGGAUAUUUUAUUUGUUGAUAGUUAAUUCUUUAGUUUCUUAGAUUCUUUAAAAAUUUUAAAAGCGUUGUUCAGUAAUAGAGUAUUAUUGGGAGUUAUUAGUAGUUCUAUAAGAAAACAUGGAACUUCGAACGCUAGAAGCUGUUGCCUAUUAUCUUAUCUGACUUCUGACUUUUAUUAUUUGAUAUUUUAUUAUUUAUUAUUUCCCUUGAAAUAAUUCAGCUCUUUUAUACAAAUAUAAACAAAGUUCAAAGAGUUAGAAACAAAAUAGACGUCAUGUGUUCCCAAUACAAGUAAAGCUAUACAUAUAAACGUAAGAGAGUAUACCUGCACAAGCGUCAUAGAAACCAAUGUUUUGCGAACUGUCUUCCAGUUAGUAUACGAACUCUAUGUUAGUAAUACUAGUAACCACGCGAACUUCGAAACAUUCGGCCACACAUGAUCAGGAAAGUAUGAAGGCAAGAGUUCGCGUGAUAGUUCAUGAUGCCAGUAACAGGAAACAAGUAUGCGUUAGUUAUAUUAAUACACUUGAACUAUGAUGUUUCAUUAACCUCUAUUUGUGUGUUAAAACGGAUUAAGAACGACGGAGAAAUGGCUCUAGUCGAAGUCAAAUCCGAGAAUCGAACAUCGAGAACAGAGAACGAAUAAACAACCUUAUAGGGAUGUUAGAAGAUGGUAGAAGGUUGAACGCAUUUGCCUAGAUAUUUCUCACGGGAAGGGUAUCGAUUGUGUGUAUAUGGUAAAGCAGGGUCAUUUCAGUCGCUUAAGUUUCCACAUCUUGUCUCGUCAUCAAGUCGUUUGAACAAUUACAGAUUUUUCCGAAUUUUAUUAUACACUUCUGACUUUCAUUAUUCAUAAUAAUAUGUCAGAAUUAAUCUUUGUAUUCUCAAAUCAAUUCUAUUAAUUAUAUGCUAUCAAGUAUACAGGAAGUAUGACUCGGAAACUCGCAGUGCAAUUUAUCGAUAACCUAGCAGACAAAUUAUAAUGGAAAGAGCAACCUACGUUAUUAUAUAUUGGGAACAGAAGAUGUAUUGCACAAUUAUUUGAUAAUGAUGGAAGAACCCAUUACAGUUCGUUAAUUGCACGUAUCUUUCAAAUAUCUUUCGAUAAAAUCAACGAAAGAUGAUUAUCUAUAGUCGUCAUACCGCGCACGACUGUGUUAAAA